GGUAAAGUAGUUAAAUUAUUAUAAUAUUAGAUUGUCAUUCUAAAGUUACCUUGAGGUUUUUACUU
rnacentral:tRNA from 1 species